GGAGAGAUGGCCGAGUGGCUGAAGGCACACGACUGGAAAUCGUGUAACGGGGAAACUCGUUCGAGGGUUCGAAUCCCUCUCUCUCCGCCA
rnacentral:tRNA from 1 species